GACGAACGCUGGCGGCGUGCCUAAUACAUGCAAGUAGAACGCACAGUUUAUACCGUAGCUUGCUACACCAUAGACUGUGAGUUGCGAACGGGUGAAUAACGCGUAGGUAACCUGCCUGGUAGCGGGGGAUAACUAUUGGAAACGAUAGCUAAUACCGCAUAAUAUUGAUUAUUGCAUGAUAAUUGAUUGAAAGAUGCUAUUGCAUCACUACCAGAUGGACCUGCGUUGUAUUAGCUAGUAGGUGAGGUAACGGCUCACCUAGGCGACGAUACAUAGCCGACCUGAGAGGGUGAUCGGCCACAGUGGGACUGAGACACGGCCCAGACUCCUACGGGAGGCAGCAGUAGGGAAUCGUCGGCAAUGGGCGAAAGUCUGACCGAGCAACGCCGCGUGAGUGAAGAAGGUUUUCGGAUCGUAAAGCUCUGUUGUAAGAGAAGAACGGGUGUGAGAGUGGAAAGUUCACACUGUGGCGGUAUCUUACCAGAAAGGGGCGGCUAACUAC
rnacentral:rRNA from 1 species